GUCUACAUCCAUGCUACUCCGAAUAGCCGGAUCUGUCUGACUUCGGAAGCUAAGUAGGGUCUGGCCUGGUUAGUACUUCGAUGGGAGACCACCUAGGAAGACUAGGUGUUGUAGGCU
rnacentral:rRNA from 1 species